UAAGCUUCGGGGAGUUGCACGUAAACUUUGAUCCGAAGAUUUCCGAAUGAGGAAACUAACUUAGAGUAAUGUCUAAGUAUCAUUAAGUGAAUACAUAGCUUAAUGAGGGGAACUCAGGGAACUGAAAUAUCUAAGUACCUGAAGGAAGAGAAAGAAAUUCGAUUCCGUAAGUAGCGGCGAGCGAACGCGGAUUAGCCCAAACCAAUAAAGUUU
rnacentral:rRNA from 1 species